UGGUCUUAAAGGAGACGCUACUUUGGGUGA
rnacentral:piRNA from 1 species